CAGUCGCCGCGGGAAUACGAAGGGGGCUAGCGUUGUUCGGAUUUACUGGGCGUAAAGCGCACGUAGGCGGACUUUUAAGUCAGGGGUGAAAUCCCGGGGCUCAACCCCGGAACUGCCUUUGAUACUGGGAGCCUUGAGUUCGAGAGAGGUGAGUGGAAUUGCGAGUGUAGAGGUGAAAUUCGUAGAUAUUCGCAGGAACACCAGUGGCGAAGGCGGCUCACUGGCUCGAUACUGACGCUGAGGAGCGAAAGCGUGGGGAGCGAACAGGAUUAGAUACCCCAGUAGUCCCUGUAUCUUAUAC
rnacentral:rRNA from 1 species